GCGGACGGGUGAGUAACACGUGAGCAACCUGCCUUUCAGAGGGGGAUAACGGCUGGAAACGGUCGCUAAUACCGCAUGAUGUGUUCGGAUGGCAUCAUCUGAACAUCAAAGAUUUAUCGCUGAAAGAUGGGCUCGCGUCUGAUUAGAUCGUUGGUGGGGUAACGGCCUACCAAGUCGACGAUCAGUAGCCGGACUGAGAGGUUGAACGGCCACAUUGGGACUGAGAUACGGCCCAGACUCCUACGGGAGGCAGCAGUGGGGAAUAUUGCACAAUGGGGGAAACCCUGAUGCAGCAACGCCGCGUGAAGGAUGACGGUUCUCGGAUUGUAAACUUCUUCUCUUAGUGACGAAGACAGUGACGGUAGCUAAGGAAUAAGCCUCCGGCUAACUACCGUGCCAGCAGCCGCGGUAAUACGUAGGAUGCCAGCGUUAUCCGGAUUUACUGGGUGUAACGGGAGCGCAUGCGGGACUGCCAGUCCGGAUGUGAAAUACCGUGGCUUAACCACGGAACUGCAUGCCAAAACUGUAGUUCUUGAGUGAAGUAGAGGCAGCGGAUUCCGAGUGUAGCGGUGAAAUGCGUAGAUAUU
rnacentral:rRNA from 1 species